rnacentral:rRNA from 1 species
UACGGAGGGUGCAAACGUUGCUCGGAAUCAUUGGGCGUAAAGCGCACGUAGGCGGUCGGGUAAGUCUGACGUGAAAUCUCCGGGCCUAACCCGGAAACUGCGUUGGAAACUGCCUGGCUAGAGGAAUGGAGGGGAGACUGGAAUACUUGGUGUAGCAGUGAAAUGCGUAGAUAUCAAGUGGAACACCAGUGGCGAAGGCGAGUCUCUGGACAUUUCCUGACGCUGAGGCACGAAAGCCAGGGGAGCAAACGGG